rnacentral:rRNA from 1 species
GACGGAGGGUGCAAGCGUUGCUCGGAAUCACUGGGCGUAAAGGGUGCGUAGGCGGUCUCGCAAGUCUGGCGUGAAAGCCCAAGGCUCAGCCUUGGAAGUGCGCUCGAAACUGCGAGGCUGGAGUGCCGGAGGGGAGAGUGGAACUGCGAGUGUAGAGGUGAAAUUCGUAGAUAUUCGCAAGAACACCAGUGGCGAAGGCGGCUCACUGGCCCGGUACUGACGCUGAGGCACGAAAGCGUGGGGAGCAAACAGG